GUCUGAAUUGCAGAACCAAGAAGUUAUUUAGUUCUGUUGACGCUUAAAAAAAGCCUGUUAAUUCAUCUCAUCAAUUAUCACUAAUAGCAAAGCAAUAGGAGGAUAGUAACAGCAUCUGCAUUAGGAUUCAUGGUCACCUGGGAACUCCCAGACAAGCUCUGGACUACAGCUGCCAUGCCAGCUCUUCAUAGCUGCAGAAUCCCAAAGAAUGCAAGGAUGAAAGGUGCAAAGGACAGUGAGAGAUGAAUGUGCGUAUGAACAAAUCUUGAAAUCCAAUAGCACUGUGUCUGCAGCCAAGAGCUUCAAAGACAGGAGCAUCUCAGCCUUCCUUUGGUUUCUAGCUGAAGAUUGGGAUGUAACUCCAGCACAGCACUUCUAGCAGCUACCACUAGCUUUUCCUCUGGCAUUUCCCAAAUAGUAUGUAUUCUGUAUGUACAAAAUAUUAUGUUUUACUCGUUAGACAGCCCAACUGGAGGAAAUCUCAGGGCUGUAAUUGCUCACCAACUAUUACUGACAAAGAAAAAUGUGACCCUUACUCUGGGAUCUAUUAAGAAAUCUGUUAUGGAUGGGGCAUCGGGGGUAAUUAUGCUGCUCUAUUUGGUUCUGCCAAGGCAUCAGAUGCAAGUACUGUGCACAGUAUUGGGCACUGCACUUAAGAAACACGUACGUAAGUAAGGUGCAGAAGAGAGCAAAGAAAAUGAGAAGAGAAAGAAAAGACCUCUGAAAAAGGCUGGAGGGGCUGGAUUUUGCACAUUUUGAAAGAGAAGACUGUGGGGACAGGACAGGAAAAGGCACAGCAAUAUUCCAAAGUACCGUGGGUUGACACACCGCGAACAGUGACCCUCUGUAUCCUUGUGGGACAUUACAACUGGCAUUGGUUUAAGUGGUAGCAAUAAAGAUGAAAUUUAUCAGGCACUUGAGCAGGCUGCAGAGAGAACCUCUGUCCAUGGUGGUUUUUAAGAACAGCUUAGACAAAUAUGAUGUGGGGUGACAAACUAUAGCUAUCUUGUCUCAUGAUAAGUGUCAAACCCACGGUAUCCCUGUCACAUAACAGCAAGUGACAAAGACACAAACGCUCUGAAUUCCCAGAGAAAGGUGGUGGAAUGGAAUCUGGAGAGAAAAGUAAUCUUUUAAAUUUGGCUUUCAGUGGUUUUUUAGAAAACAUAUUUUAGUUAUGUUGGGAAGAGCUAAAACUGAUCCUGUCCUCACAGUACCUCCAGACUGAUGGCUUUGUGUAUGGAACAGGCUGGGUGUCAUCAUUUUGAACAAAGGCAAGCAAGAAAGGUAGACAAAAGGAAGAUCGAAGAUAGACAAGAUGGCCAGUCUUUUCUUGCAGCUGAUUAAAAAGUUAAAUGAUGUACUGUGCAUAAUCUCCAGCUAAUGUAAAAAAUAAUAGUUCAAGUUUACAUGACAUAGUAAGUUAUGGGGCUCCAGAAAUGUAAAUGGCCUGGAAAUAUUAAAAUGUAAAACCCCUGUAACA